UGGACCUCAGAUCAGGCAAGACUACCCGCUGAGUUUAAGCAUAUCACUAAGCGGAGGAAAAGAAACUAACU
rnacentral:rRNA from 1 species